rnacentral:tRNA from 1 species
GCUAGCGUGGCGUAGUGGUUUGAGUGUUGGACUACGACUCUAGAGACCAGGGUUCAAUUCCCAGCUCAGCC